rnacentral:lncRNA from 1 species
GUCACCGGGCGGGCGGGAACGGUGCCGCGAUGGGACACUGCGGGCGGCUGGGCUUAGGCGCGCGCGUCGGGAGGGGCUGAAGUCCAGGCGGAGGCGGGCGCGAGGCUGCGGGACGGGUGGACGUUCCCGCCCAGCGCCUUGGCCACGCUGGCGAGGCCCUUCCUCCCUCGGGGAGCCCGGCUCUGCCGGUCUGUACGAGGAUCUGGUCUAGAGGCUCGGGGGUGCGCGGGGUGGGGAGUCGGGGGCGGGCGGGGAAGGACCUGUCCCCGGGACCCCAGGGUGCCAAAGAAGGAGAAAGGGAACACGAGCUGGGAGGACGCAUCAACAGGUGGCGAAGGUGCGGCUGGCGGGGGAACGGGUAGGAUGAAGGGCAAAGGGGACGGGCGCGGGGAGGCGCUGCCCUCUCCGACCACCCGCCCCCCACCCCACAGCCGGCUGCCAAAGAGCCGUGCCACCUCCCCCUGUGCGUCGCGGGUGAGGGGCUGACUGUGCCCAGCCAAGGCGCUGGGCCUCUGCCAGCGCAAGGGGAGGUCGCGGCCCCGACAGCCAAUAGCUAGGAGCAAGGCGGGGGGGAGGAGCUGCAAAACGGCUGUGUUUGCGCGGCGACGCCCAGCUCCCUGCGGGGAAAGCACAAAACCUCUGGUGCCAGGGCAUCAGGAUGCCCCUCCUUUGGGAACGAAAUGUGUGCUAUGCCAGCCCUCCUCCCUGCCCUCCCGCUGCUCCUGCCACUGAUCUAUUUGUAGCGGCAAGCGCCCAGGAGGACCUACUCGGGGCAGGCAACGCGGCUCCAGCAAAUCCCUGCAUCAGGCAGUCGCUGGAGAACAGGCCGGAGCGGUCCCUUUCGCAGAUGCCUUUUAAACUCACGAUGAUCCAGGAGCACGGUUUUAAGGAUCAGUCUCGGUCCCAGAGCUCCAGAGAGGCAGCUGUGACACAGUGGCAGUGGCAGGAGAGAGGGGCCAUAUUCAAGGGGAGAGAGAGUGGAAAUGGUACAAGACGGACAGAGGAAGAGUCCUGUCAGCCGUGGAGGCAGCGUGAACUUGAGCCCGAGCAGCCUGCCAGCCCCCAGCCCCCGGCUGCGGCUCCAGGAGAGAGCUCUGUGCCAGCUGGGCCAGCCUCACCCAGUUCUUCAGUCCGGGAGCCUAGCACCGGGCCUGGCACACAGGAGCCUCCGUGAGUGUGCGAGGCUGUUCUGUUGGCACCUGCUGCCUUGGUCAUCACUGACUAGAGGAGGUGGCCCAUGGUGCCCAGCCCCCUGAAGGGACAGACCAUGUCUGACAGAAUGUUCCCAGUCUGCAGCAAAAUGGAGAAGAAAAGCCAG